rnacentral:tRNA from 1 species
GGUGAUGCAGCUCAGUGACAGAGCACAUGCUUUGUAUGUAUGAGGGAUGGGAUUCAACUCCCAGCACCA